rnacentral:rRNA from 1 species
UACGUAGGGUGCGAGCGUUAAUCGGAAUUACUGGGCGUAAAGCGUGCGCAGGCGGUUGGUUAAGUCUGAUGUGAAAGCCCCGGGCUCAACCUGGGAAUGGCAAUGGAUACUGGCGAGCUAGAGUGUGUCAGAGGAUGGUGGAAUUCCCGGUGUAGCGGUGAAAUGCGUAGAGAUCGGGAGGAACAUCAGUGGCGAAGGCGGCCAUCUGGGACAACACUGACGCUGAGGCACGAAGGCCAGGGGAGCAAACGGG